rnacentral:tRNA from 1 species
UCCUCCAUAGCUCAAUUGGCAGAGCAGACGGCUGUUAACCGUCAGGUUCCUGGUUCGAGUCCAGGUGGGGGAG